GCUUCCUGGCUUUGUGUCAGGAUACAUUUAUUUCAUAUUUGUCUUAGCUGUUUGUCAUGUGAUUUUAGCAUAUACAACUAUUUAUUACCGCGAAACAGAUAAAAAACAGGCUUUGCACGCUGCAUUAAGUGCAGUUUAUUUUAAUUUUAAAGGCUAAAGUAAUCGGGUUGUAUAUUGCUUUUUGUUGUAAUUACACAAAAUCUAACUCUGGUCACGUCUUCUAUGGUACUUCCGGUUUGCGGAUCUUGCGGAGGUCGUUUUUUCUAAUUUACUUUAAUCUCAACGUCUCCUACUUUUUCCAGUUGGUUUGAGUUAAACUUUGCCCCCUGACGUUGCCGUAACUCUCCUCGUGUGAACACGUUUGUGUUUACAUGCUUUUGACGUUUGAUUUUACCGCAUGAGUCUCUGCAGCUUAACCGUUUAGUGAGUCAGGUUAACUGUCGUCAUGUUUUGAAUCCUGUGUGCAGGAAUUUUAUAAAUGUGAGGAACCAUGCAUCAAACUGUUGCAAGAAGGUGGCUGUUUUGGGUGACCUGGUAGACAACCUACUUCCUUGAUAAUGGCAGGCAGCAGAGGAACCGGUUUAUGUAUUUACAGUAAGCAGGUGGAAUGUGCUAGCGACCGUCGAGCCGCUUCUGCCACCGGGACUGGAGGCAGCCAACAGACGUGAGCUCACCAUCAGCACAAUGAGAGGCGUGGCCGCGCCUGUCACCGCCGUGGACCUGAUGUUGCCGUGGAGACAGGCCACGCACACACUCGCAGGCACACGCGCUCGGAGAUUGGCUUCGAGUGACACCGUCGGGAAAUUAAAGCGGUAGCCCAAGGCAACGAGGAUUUAUUGGCCAAUCACAGCAGUGUCUGUUGUGUUUACCUUGCAGGAUUGUGCGUCUCACUGAGGGAGUGUGUGUAUUUACGCACAGGUGCACCACGCACGCCUCGACUAAUUAGAACGACAACGUCAGCUAGUGUUGGAGAAAUAUUCACCACGCUUGUCUGCCAUUGGCCGUCGCACUCACAAGAGCAAUUAGCGGCGCAUCAGAUCAGUUUACAGCUGUGUUGCGCGUGCGUUUGGGGCUGUCGGCACAGGCAGCGUCCCUUCUGACCCUGGAGGGAGAAACGCAAACCUCGCCGCAUGCUCUGCAAAUCACCUCACGGCCACACGUACCGCGGCACU